rnacentral:rRNA from 3 species
GAUACCGCCCUAGUUCUAACCAUAAACGAUGCCAACCAGCGAUCCGCCUGGGUUCCUCAAAUGACUCGGCGGGCAGCUUCCGGGAAACCAAAGUGUUUGGGUUCCGGGGGGAGUAUGGUUGCAAAGCUGAAACUUAAAGGAAUUGACGGAAGGGCACCACCAGGAGUGGAGCCUGCGGCUUAAUUUGACUCAACACGGGAAAACUUACCCGGCCCGGACACUGGAAGGAUUGACAGAUUAAGAGCUCUUUCUUGAUUCAGUGGGUGGUGGUGCAUGGCCGUUCUUAGUUGGUGGAGCGAUUUGUCUGGUUAAUUCCGAUAACGAACGAGACUCUAGCCUACUAAAUAGGCGUUCCGAUCCCUUGCGUCGGACGCUCUUCUUAGAGGGACAAGCGGCGUUUAGCCGCACGAGACAGAGCAAUAACAGGUCUGUGAUGCCCUUAGAUGUCCGGGGCCGCACGCGCGCUACACUGAAGGAAUCAGCGUGUGCUCUCCCUGUCCGCUAGGACUGGGUAACCCGUUGAACCUCCUUCGUGAUAGGGAUAGGGGCUUGUAAUUGUUCCCCUUGAACGAGGAAUUCCCAGUAAGCGCGAGUCAUAAGCUCGUGUUGAUUAUGUCCCUGCCCUUUGUACACACCGCCCGUCGCUACCUCCGAU